CAUGUGGUUAAUUCGAAGCAACGCGAAGAACCUUACCAGUCUUGACAUCCCUGACAACCCGAGAGAUCCGGGCGUUCCCCCUUCGGGGGGACAGGGUGACAGGUGGUGCAUGGUUGUCGUCAGCUCGUGUCGUGAGAUGUUGGGUUAAGUCCCGCAACGAGCGCAACCCUCGACCUUAGUUGCCAGCAUUCAGUUGGGCACUCUAAGGUGACUGCCGGCUAAAAGUCGGAGGAAGGUGGGGAUGACGUCAAAUCAUCAUGCCCCUUAUGACCUGGGCUACACACACGCUACAAUGGCCAACACAAUAGGUUGCUAAGCCGCGAGGUGGCGCCAAUCCAUAAAGUUGGUCUCAGUUCAGAUUGUAGGCUGCAACCCGCCUGCAUGAAGAUGGAGUUGCUAGUAACCGCAGGUCAGCUAUACUGCGGUGAAUACGUUCCCGGGGCUU
rnacentral:rRNA from 1 species